rnacentral:misc_RNA from 1 species
GAGGACUUUGCAAAGGGGAAGGUGCAGAAUAACAGUGAAAGGAAAGUGGAUGCCUCAACACGCACAACAAAUAGAAAUGGUAAAGAUGCAGAUACUGCAGGAGUAAGUAAUCAAAAGACUGUUGACGAUCUGGACUCCUUUUUCAGUGUGGGUCCUCGAUCAAAGAGUGCUCCAAGGUCACGAACAACAACUUCGGAUCCUCUAUUUGACAUUCCUAAAUACAACAAACCACCUGAAAUACCCAAACCUGCUCCUUCGGUAGCCUCGUCCCACAUAAAGAAGUCUUCUUCUGUUGUAAAUCUUGUGGAUGAUCUUUCAUCGGUUUUCGGAGAUGCUCCUUCAUUUGGACAUUU